rnacentral:rRNA from 1 species
GUCGAACGAACUCUGGUAUUGAUUGGUGCUUGCAUCAUGAUUUACAUUUGAGUGAGUGGCGAACUGGUGAGUAACACGUGGGAAACCUGCCCAGAAGCGGGGGAUAACACCUGGAAACAGAUGCUAAUACCGCAUAACAACUUGGACCGCAUGGUCCGAGCUUGAAAGAUGGCUUCGGCUAUCACUUUUGGAUGGUCCCGCGGCGUAUUAGCUAGAUGGUGGGGUAACGGCUCACCAUGGCAAUGAUACGUAGCCGACCUGAGAGGGUAAUCGGCCACAUUGGGACUGAGACACGGCCCAAACUCCUACGGGAGGCAGCAGUAGGGAAUCUUCCACAAUGGACGAAAGUCUGAUGGAGCAACGCCGCGUGAGUGAAGAAGGGUUUCGGCUCGUAAAACUCUGUUGUUAAAGAAGAACAUAUCUGAGAGUAACUGUUCAGGUAUUGACGGUAUUUAACCAGAAAGCCACGGCUAACUACGUGCCAGCAGCCGCGGUAAUACGUAGGUGGCAAGCGUUGUCCGGAUUUAUUGGGCGUAAAGCGAGCGCAGGCGGUUUUUUAAGUCUGAUGUGAAAGCCUUCGGCUCAACCGAAGAAGUGCAUCGGAAACUGGGAAACUUGAGUGCAGAAGAGGACAGUGGAACUCCAUGUGUAGCGGUGAAAUGCGUAGAUAUAUGGAAGAACACCAGUGGCGAAAGGCGGCUGUCUGGUCUGUAACUGACGCUGAGGCUCGAAAGUAUGGGUAGCAAACAGGAUUAGAUACCCUGGUAGUCCAUACCGUAAACGAUGAAUGCUAAGUGUUGGAGGGUUUCCGCCCUUCAGUGCUGCAGCUAACGCAUUAAGCAUUCCGCCUGGGGAGUACGGCCGCAAGGCUGAAACUCAAAGGAAUUGACGGGGGCCCGCACAAGCGGUGGAGCAUGUGGUUUAAUUCGAAGCUACGCGAAGAACCUUACCAGGUCUUGACAUACUAUGCAAAUCUAAGAGAUUAGACGUUCCCUUCGGGGACAUGGAUACAGGUGGUGCAUGGUUGUCGUCAGCUCGUGUCGUGAGAUGUUGGGUUAAGUCCCGCAACGAGCGCAACCCUUAUUAUCAGUUGCCAGCAUUAAGUUGGGCACUCUGGUGAGACUGCCGGUGACAAACCGGAGGAAGGUGGGGAUGACGUCAAAUCAUCAUGCCCCUUAUGACCUGGGCUACACACGUGCUACAAUGGAUGGUACAACGAGUUGCGAACUCGCGAGAGUAAGCUAAUCUCUUAAAGCCAUUCUCAGUUCGGAUUGUAGGCUGCAACUCGCCUACAUGAAGUCGGAAUCGCUAGUAAUCGCGGAUCAGCAUGCCGCGGUGAAUACGUUCCCGGGCCUUGUACACACCGCCCGUCACACCAUGAGAGUUUGUAACACCCAAAGUCGGUGGGGUAACCUUUUAGGAACCAGCCGCCUAA